rnacentral:rRNA from 1 species
UACAGAGGGGGCAAGCGUUGUUCGGAAUUACUGGGCGUAAAGGGCGCGUAGGCGGCCUGCUAAGUCGAACGUGAAAUCCCUGGGCUCAACCCAGGAACUGCGUCCGAUACUGGUUGGCUUGAAUCCGGGAGAGGGAUGCAGAAUUCCAGGUGUAGCGGUGAAAUGCGUAGAUAUCUGGAGGAAUACCGGUGGCGAAGGCGGCAUCCUGGACCGACAUUGACGCUGAGGAGCGAAAGCUAGGGGAGCAAACGGGG